AGUAAUAUGUCUCAUAAAGAAUUACUUUGAUAGAGUGAACAAUAGAGGUUAAAAUCCUCUUAUUUCUU
rnacentral:tRNA from 1 species